CCCUUAGAUGUUCUGGGCCGCACGCGUGCUACACUGAGUGGAUCAGCGGGUCAGGUUGCGCGAAAGCGUUUCCUAAUCUUUAAAUCCGCUCGUGAUGGGGAUUGACGGUUGCAAUUUUCUGUCAUGAACGAGGAAUACCUUGUAAGCGCGGGUCAUCAUCCCGCGCUGAAUACGUCCCUGCCCUUUGUACACACCGCCCGUCGCUCCUACCGAUUGAGUGGUCCGGUGAGGCUUUGGGAUCUGAGCGGAAAGAGCGUUUCGCUGUUUCUGCUCGGAAAACUCAGUCGAACCUUAUCAUUUAGAGGAAGGUGAAGUCGUAACA
rnacentral:rRNA from 1 species